UACGUAGGGGGCGAGCGUUGUCCGGAUUUAUUGGGCGUAAAGAGCGUGUAGGCGGCCAGGUAGGUCUGCUGUGAAAACUCGAGGCUCAACCUCGAGACGUCGGCGGAAACCAUCUGGCUAGAGUCCGGAAGAGGAGAGUGGAAUCCUGGUGUAGCGGUGAAAUGCGCAGAUAUCAGGAGGAACACCGGUGGCGAAGGCGGUCUCUGGCCCGAUGACUGACGCUGGAGGGAGCGAAAGCGUGGGAGCAAAACAGG
rnacentral:rRNA from 1 species